rnacentral:rRNA from 1 species
CCUACGGGUGGCAGCAGUGGGGAAUAUUUCACAAUGGGCGAAAGCCUGAUGGAGCAACGCCGCGUGCAGGAUGAAGGCCUUCGGGUUGUAAACUGCUUUUAUAAGCGAGAAAUAUGAUGGUAACUUAUGAAUAAGCCUCGGCUAACUACGUGCCAGCAGCCGCGGUCAUACGUAGGGUGCGAGCGUGAUCCGGAGUGACUGGGUGUAAAGAGGGGGGUAGGAGGCAUAAUAAGGAGAUAGGGGAAUCUGGUGGCGCAACCAGUCAGACUACUAGCUAAACUGUUAGGCUCGAGCCCGGUAGGGGUAACUGGAAUUUCUAGUGUAGCAGUGAAAUGCGUAGAUAUUAGGAGGAACACCGAUGGCGAAGGCAGCUUACUGGGACGGUACUGACACUGAGGCACGAAAGCGUAGGGAGCAAACGGGAUUAGAUACCCUGGUAGUC